CAUAGAGAGCGUGGACCUCACUUUCUUAAUCACUUCAGAAGCUUCCCUCACGUACUCCUCGUCGGAAGCAGCGAAUGCUGACGUGGAAGGUAGGAGCAAUGCCGGAGCGAGGAUUCCGGCAGCCAGAGAGAGGAAUUCACGGCGGCGGGUGGAUGGGACAGAGGCUGAGACGGUGGCGGCAUUGGCGGCGGUGGUGGUGGAGGAGAGUUUUGAUCGGAUAGGGGUAAGAGGUUUUGGGGUGGAGGUGGAUGGGGUUAUUAGGGUUGGAGAAGCCAUGGUUUUGUUUGGUUGUUGAAGGAGAAGGAAAGUUGAUGAAAGAGAGUGUGUUGUAGUUUUGGUGUAAAGGGAGAAUGAUGAAUGGAGAUAGUUGGAUUAAUGACACGUUGGC
rnacentral:lncRNA from 1 species